AGCUUAACCUUCGGGAGGGCGCUUACCACUUUGUGAUUCAUGACUGGGGUGAAGUCGCAACAAGGUAACCGUAGGGGAACCUGCGGUUGGAUCACCUCCUUACCUUAAAGAA
rnacentral:rRNA from 1 species